rnacentral:rRNA from 1 species
ACUAGGAUUUAUCCUGGGGUCACAAUGGGCUUGAUUUGCAAACUUUAUUUAGCGAGGAACAAUUGGAGGGCAAGUCUGGUGCCAGCAGCCGCGGUAAUUCCAGCUCCAAUAGUGUAUAUUAAUGUUCCUGCAGUUAUUCGAUGCUCGUAGUUGGAUUUCUGGGGGCUGAGAUUGGAAGGUGGCCAAGGUCACCGCCGAACUCUUCCUUCAUCCACCUGUUAACGUUGUCCGGGAUUUGUUUCUCGGCUUCAGGCUCAGGUAUUUUACCCUUUCUAUAUAUUCAUUUAUUUAUCUUCUUUUUGAGUAAAUUAUAGUGUUUCAGGCAGGCGUGCGCCGGAAUACUUUAGCAUGGAAUAAUCGAAUUGGACCGUGUAUUCUUAUAGAAUUCUUCCUUAUUUGUUGGUUUCAAGGACACGGAAGUGGUUAAUAGGGAUAGUGUUUUCAGGGGAGGCAUUAGUAUUUAAUUUCCAGAGGUGAAAUUCUUUGAAAUAUUAAAGACUAACUUAUGCGAAAGCAUUUAUUUUGCCAAUAAUGUUUUCAUUAAUCAUUGAACGAAAGUUAGGGGAUCAAAGACGAUCAGGUACCGUCCUAGUCUUAACCAUAAACGUUGCCGACUAGGGAUCGGAGGGCGUGCACAUUCCGCCUUCGGCACCUUACGAGAAAUCAAAGUCUUUUGGGUUCUGGGGGUAGUAUGGUCGCAAGGCUGAAACUUAAAGGAAUUGACGGAAGGGCACCACCAGGAGUGGAGCUUGCGGCUCAAUUUGACUCAACACGGGAAAUCUUACCAGGUCCAGACAUAGCGAGGAUUGACAGAUUGAUAGCUCUUUCUUGAUUCUAUGGGUAUUUAUUUUAAUUUUGGUGGUGCAUGGCCGUUCUUAGUUGGUGGAGUGAUUUGUCUGGUUAAUUCCGUUAAACGAACGAGACCUCAGCCUGCUAAAUAGUUACCUGUCUUUCUUUUACGAGACUUGAUAACUUCUUAGAGGGACGUUGUGUGCAACCACAAGGAAGUUGAGGCAAUAACAGGUCUGUGAUGCCCUUAGAUGUCCUGGGCCGCACGCGUGCUACACUGAUACGUACAACAAGGUAUAUGCAUUUAUGCAUCGAUGCUGCUCCGAAAUAGACACAGCUAAAUCUUCUAAAAUACGUAUCGUGCUGCGGAUAGAUCGUUGAAAUUAUGGAUCUUGAAGGUGGAAUUCCUAGUAAGCGCGGGUCAUCAACCCGCGUUGAUUACGUCCCUGCCCUUUGUACACACCGCCCGUCGCUCCUACCAAUUUCGAGUGGCUCGGUGAACCUCUUUGGACUGUCGAGCAAUCGCGAAAUUAGAGUGAACCUGGUCAC